CCGGGUGUUGUGGCCUGGCUCUGCUCGGAUCGGCUCCACUCGUGACGCAACAUCCAUGAAGACAGCCGCAGUGCGAAACAGCGGCGCUUCCGGUGAACCCUUACACAAUAAAGGGAGCAGUUAGGGGUUGGGUGUCUUGCUCAGGGACACUUCGGCAUGGGACAUGGAGUUUGAACCGCCGACCCUGCGGUUGCCGGCGCACCCUCUCUACUCCAUGUAGAGGCGCCACCGACGCCCGUUUGAUGAGAAGGACACUUUUAUUCUACACAACUUUAUAGCUUUCAAAAGAUGUUGUAUUAAUCAAUUGUUUGUCAACUAUAUUAUUUCUGCAGCUACUUUCCGUAAUAAUUUCCUAAAUUUUAAACAUAUUAAUAUUAUUAUUAAUGUAUUAUUAUUUUUGUAUUUCUGUCUUACUCUGCUUUUUUGUUUUAGAACAUUUCCUCCAGAGUUGAAUCUCAAGGAAAUUUAGCUUUUUUAGUUUGACAAGCUCGUGUUUUAGUUCCUUUUAAAUGAUAUUUACAUCAAGCGUUUAUUUUGAAGACUUUCAUUUCCGGUUUCGCUCCAGGUUACCUUCAUGGAUCAACUGGUUUCGGUUGAGAUUCUGGUUCUGGUUCAGUUCGGACCAAAACCAGAAUCCAACUGAUUUCCUGAACUAAUAUUUGACAUUAUUCUGUUUUACUUCAAAUAAACAAUUUCAGAGUUUU